rnacentral:rRNA from 1 species
AAUCAACGCUGGCGGCGUGCCUCAGACAUGCAAGUUGAACGAUUAAAGCUCUCUUCGGAGAGUGCAUAAAGUGGCGCACGGGUGAGUAACACGUAAGUAAUCUACCCUCGAGUGGGAUAACGUCCGGAACGGACGCUAAUACCGCAUAACGCAGCGGCACCGCAAGGUGACAGUUGUUAAAGGAGAAAUACCGCUUGAGGAGGAGCUUGCGGCAGAUUAGCUUGNGGUAAGGUAACGGCUUACCAAGGCUACGAUCUGUAACCGGUCUAAGAGGACGGUCGGUCACACUGACACUGAAUAACGGGUCAGACUCCUACGGGA